rnacentral:rRNA from 1 species
UGGGGAAUAUUGCACAAUGGGCGCAAGCCUGAUGCAGCCAUGCCGCGUGUAUGAAGAAGGCCUUCGGGUUGUAAAGUACUUUCAGCGGGGAGGAAGGUGUUGUGGUUAAUAACCGCAGCAAUUGCGUUACCCGCAGAAGAAGCACCGGCUAACUCCGUGCCAGCAGCCGCGGUAAUACGGGGGUGCAAAGCGUUAAUCGGAAUUACUGGGCGUAAAGCGCACGCAGGCGGUCUGUCAAGUCGGAUGUGAAAUCCCCGGGCUCAACCUGGGAACUGCAUUCGAAACUGGCAGGCUAGAGUCUUGUAGAGGGGGUAGAAUUCCAGGUGUAGCGGUGAAAUUGCGUAGAGAUCUGGAGGAAUACCGGUGGCGAAGGCGCCCCCUGGACAAAGACUGACGCUCAGGUGCGAAAGCGUGGGAGCAAACA